UUUUUUAUGUUCAAAAGAGUUGAUUUAUUAUUUGAACUGUAGCAUAAGAUUUUCACAUUUCAGUUUUUCCGUCACUCAUGUCAAUAAUAUCAAUCAAAUUUUGUUUCACUGAAUCUGUGGCAUUUACUUCAUUUAGAAAAGAACAUUUCCAAUUUCAAUCAGCUUUCAGUUACACAGUCAUAAAAGUAAUUAUUUGUCCCAACAGAUAUCCAACACUGCUUUAUUUGAUUUUUCUAUAUCAUAAUCAGGAAAUAAAACCUAUUUUGUAUAGGAAACUUGUUAUUUAGACAGAGCCUUGCUCUGUCACCCAAGCUGGAGUACAGUGGCACAAUCACGGCUCACUGCAGCAUUUAACUCCUGGGCUCAAGUGAUCCUCCCAAAUAACUGAGACUACAGGCACCUGCCACCACAACCAGCUGAUUUUUAUUUUUAUUUUGUAGAGACAGGAUUUUGUCAUGUUGCCAAGGCUGGUCUUGAACUGUUGGACUCAAUCAGUUUUUCCACCUCAGCCUCCCAAAGCACUGAGAUUGCAGGUAUGGGCCACCAUGCCUGGCCUGUAAAGGAAACUUUUGGAGAAACAGGAAAAAACGCAUUCAUUUAGUGCUUUACUCCUGUAGCCCAAUGUCAAAACUAAAAAAAAAAAAACGGCAAAAAUUAUCUAAUUUUUCUAUAGAUUUUUUCCUUCUCUUUUUUUUUUUUUUUAGUAGGAAACUUCUUGGGAGUUCUAUUACAGGUUUAAAUUUUAGACUGAAACAAAUUACUUGUUUUGUGUAUGUGGCACAGUGUCAUAAUAGUAGCUGACUGAGACCUCAGAAGACUAUCAGCUGAUCUCACAUGAUAUGGUUUGGCUCUGUGCCCCAACCCAAACCUCAUGUUGUAGCUCCCAUAAUUCCCAGGUGUUGUGGGAGGGACUCAGUGGGAGAUAAUUGAAUCAUGGGGAUGGGUCUUUCCCAUGCUGUUCUCUGAUAGUGAAUAAGUCUCAUGAGAUUGAUGGCUUUAAAAAUGGGAGUUUCCCUGCACAAGCUCUCUCUCUUUGCCUGCCACCAUCCAUGUAAGAUGUGACUUGCUUCUCCUUGCCUUCUGCCAUGAUUGUGAGGACUCCCCAGCCACGUGGAACUGUACAGACAGUGCAAAGGUGGUGUGCCUAGUGAGCUUGGAUGUAUCAAACAGCUGUAAGAAAAUCUCUCCAACCUUCUCUGAAUAAAGGAGGAAUGUGGUGUUUAUUGAGGAACAGGCAACCCUUACAUUUGAAUAAAAGAUGCCAUAUAGAAGCAAGUGCAUUCGUCCCACCUCACCAACAGCUUGAAGAGUCA
rnacentral:lncRNA from 10 species